rnacentral:rRNA from 1 species
CAGUAGCCACGGGAAUACGUAGGUGGCAAGCGUUGUCCGGAUUUAUUGGGCGUAAAGCGAGCGCAGGCGGUUUCUUAAGUCUGAUGUGAAAGCCCCCGGCUCAACCGGGGAGGGUCAUUGGAAACUGGGAAACUUGAGUGCAGAAGAGGAGAGUGGAAUUCCAUGUGUAGCGGUGAAAUGCGUAGAUAUAUGGAGGAACACCAGUGGCGAAGGCGGCUCUCUGGUCUGUAACUGACGCUGAGGCUCGAAAGCGUGGGGAGCAAACAGGAUUAGAUACCCCGGUAGUCCCUGUCUCUUAUAC